rnacentral:rRNA from 1 species
AUUGAACGCUGGCGGCAGGCCUAACACAUGCAAGUCGAACGAGUGGCGGACGGGUGAGUACUGUCUGGGAAACUGCCCGAUGGAGGGGGAUAACUACUGGAAACGGUAGCUAAUACCGCAUACGAUCGGAUGUACCCAGAUGGGAUUAGAUAGUAGGUGGGGUAACGGCUCACCUAGGAGACGAUCCAUUGCUGGUCUGUGAGGAAGACCAGCCACACUGGAACUGAGACACGGUCCAGACUCCUACGGUAGGCAGCAGUGGGGAAUAUUGCGCAAUUGGCGCAAGCCUGAUGCAGCCAUGCCGCGUGUAUGAAGAAGGCCUUCGGGUUGUAAAGUACUUUCAGCGAGGAGGCGUUACUCGCAGAAGAAGCACCGGCUAACUCCGUGCCAGCCGCCGCGGUAAUAC